UUGGACUUACAACAAGAUUAGUAUCCUUUCUAGCUGCACGAUACUCAUUUGUGAAUGUAGAAUCAUCACUAAACAAUAAAGUAAAGAACUGUUCCGCUGUGCAUGGGAAAACAUCCUGCAAAAUACAUUAAUGCAUUCUAUAAUGGUAAUAACACAACUUAAAAAUUCAUAGACCAUGAAAGAAGGAAAAAGAUGAUGCGUACAUUGUAUAUACCAACAAGAACCUCUUCUUUGAUAAACGGUUGAAGCUUUUCAGGUUUGGUGACUGUUUCUUCCGCAAUCUUAGCCUGCCUUCUACUACCUCUAAUGGAGCUACUAUGUGCACGCAACGCCGAUUCUGCCUUCUCCUAUACAGCAGCAAGCAGAUUGAAUUAACUUUUUUCUUCAUUAAAUCAUACUAGUCAGAGAAAAAGUUCAGCAAAAUACAUAUCCAAGAUCUGAUCCUAAUCCCAUUUCAAACGGGUUAGAUGUAUCUUGUCAGGGCAUAUGCCCAAAAUAAGUGUAGCAGCUCGGAUACCAAAAGUUUCAGCAAAACUGAAAAAACUAUCAAUUCCAACAAGGAAGACAACCAUCAAUGCCUGACACAACAGGAUAGAAAACUCCUUCACUGUUAGUAACAUUAAAGAGACUGACUUUAACUUCUAAAAUAGAACACAAUAGUUGAACUUUGGCCAUUCUAUGGUGGUAAUUAAAUGUGGGCGUCUUAAAAAUGUGUUGACAAAGCCAUGACUACUUAGCAGUUUAGAUUAAUUAAUAGAUGUGCUCAUAAUAUGUACAUAUUUUUUUUUAAUAUGUAUGUUUUAUUCUCAACAUUAGUGAAUGAACUCCAGUAAAGGGGUACAUUCUGCCACAUGAGAAGUGUGUGAGAUGUUUUAGUAGCAGCAAUAGAGAAAAAGAGCUAUAUAGACAACAGAGAGGAAAUAUAAUAUCUACAUUGUUUCUGUAUUAUAUUACUAAUAAACCAGAAGUAUUGUAUUACUAAAAACCCAGUAUAAGAGUUCUAUUUCGCUAAAUCAAGAACUCGGAAAGACAGCUCAUUGAUGAUACGACUCUUAGUAAAUACCAGACAAUGAAACCCCAUGCAUUCAUAUUUUAACUUCAACAAGUUGGAAAGAACUAUGUGAAUCUACUUAUUUCCAUAGUCAUUAUGGGGUUAGGAACCACUUGGCGAUUUGUGUCAGACCUCUUCACAAUUUUAAACGAUGACCAUUUUAUCCAUACGGUUGAUAACCAAGAUUAGAGUUGUAAAGGUAAAUAAUGAUAAAAGUUACAGACACAAUGAUUCAUGAAGCAAUACGAACGAACCUUCUUCUCAGCCUCUAACAUUUUAUGAUAGUUCUUUGCAAUACGUUGCAAUUGUCUCAAGGCAUGAUUCCUGUUCCAAAAUGAUGCAAAUUUAUAUCUGACCCUACCUGAAAAUGAAAGAGAAAAUAAAGGCCAAAAAGAAACCUCAACAACUCAUAUCAAACUGAAAAUGCAUCCAAAUCACACAUGAUGUUCCACUAUUCUGAAAAAACACAUUCAAUAACCUAACCAGAACACAAAAGUAAUAAUAAAACCCAUCAAGGAAAGCCAAUACACUGGAUAUUAGUUCGUACAAUAAUUAGAUGUUUUAAAUGGAAGUCCAUAUUCAAAAAUAUUACAAUACACUCCAGUCAUCAUAGAAGUGCAUGAUUUUCAACAAACAAGAAAUUGACCUAGUGUUUUACUCCGACAUGACAUUUGAAACACAAGCAUAACAGUAACCUUAAAAAGGGCAUAUUUCAGAGAAUACUCUAUAAAUUUCUAAGGUGAGAGCUGGUGUAUUUAAAUGUAACUUUUCAUUUAAAUCGAAAUAUCAAUCUGCACAUCAGACUCAGAAUUUUUUUUACAGAGCAACCACUGAAGCCCUAAGGGAAAGCAAUGAAAAAUAAUUAUUCAGAGGCAGCAUUAUGUAAUGCUAGCAUAUCAAGCAAGGAUAGUUCGAACUUAAGAAGACUGAAACAGCUUACAAACUUGCAUCAGGACACACAAAUACCACACCACAAUUAUUGAAAUCAAACACAUUCUUAUACAAACAAAACUAAUUAAAAAAGGAAGUAACAGGAAAGUUAGCUAAAUUCAUAAUUAGGGUGAACCUUACAUGCAAUCAAGAUUCUAACUGAGUGGGGCACUUUUUCAGAAUCUUCAUGCACUCAAGUCUACUAAGUGAAUCCUAUGAGCUUUCUUGUAAUUUGGCCAAGCAACCAAGAGGCCCUCUCUUUUUUCCUUCUUCCCCUGCAUAUUCAGUGUCCUUACCUUCUCAAUUUCGAGACCAUACAAUGACUUUAGAACUUGCUUGAUCUAAAUCUUUGAAGCAGGGGGCAUGGUUUUGAAAGCAAUUUCUUUGGUAUUUUCAAAUGAAGACGGGAUGAGAAGCUUCAAAGGGAAAUCGAUAAGCAUGUUUUCAUGGUUCUUCAUCGAUCAAAUACCUCGUUUGGUUGUCAAGAAAUUAUAUGAGUGGCAAUUUCUUUGGUAUUUUCAAAUAAAAAUUUCGCUGCAACUUUUGAUGGCGACAGGAGAUGAAGUGCAUAGAAGUUGUUUAGAGAAGUUUUUCAACAACACUACUUGUCAUUGAUUGUUGGCCACUGUAAAGCGCAAACAAAGAUGUAACCACCAAUUUUAUUAUCCUAAAUCUAAUCACAUGAGCCUAAUUAACAAAAAUAUGUGGUUUCCAAGAAAAAUUACACCUCUAGUUUAUUAGGAUUUGAGGAAAAUAUAAUUAGAGUUUAACAAAAUUAUGAUGAAUGUAAAGGCGAGUUUAAAAAGUAAAAAUUCUGUUUUUUCUUUUUCCUUUUUAUUAUAUUUUAAUGUCCAUAAUUGUAAUUUAAUUUAAGGUAUUUUAAUAAAAAAAUUAUUUUUAAAAGUAAAUUUAAUGAGUAAUUUGGUGGGUUCAAAUAGCCCCACCCUAAUUUAAUGCAUAUUUUGGAUAUUUUAAGGGGAAUAGGUAUAUCCCACACAAUUUCCCCGCCAUGAAGUGCCAAUAUUGUUCUCCAUCCUUUCUACAUAUAUAUCUUUUCCAGAUAAAUAUUUGCAGAAGUGAGGUGGGGAGGCCCUCCUAAAAUAUACUUAAGCUUCGAACAAUCAGGCGUUUCAGAUUUGAAAGUUGGAAAUCACCAGUUCAGCCAGAGAGGAAGGAAUCCUCGUUCCUUUCUCCUCUACUGGAUAUGAACCCCACAUCCUCACAUACUCUGCGGAUUACAAGUCGUCUGAGAUAGCCGAAUCUGUGCAAUCCCACUCGAACAGUGCUUUGCGAAUCUCCAGAUCCUGAAGCUCGAGUGAAUCAAAGUUGGCAGAGAAAGCCAUCCUCUGGGGAAACAUGCCAAUAUUAGAUUUUCCAGUGCUAAAUGUUCAAGAGAGGUCAGAUUGUGCAAGCCGUUGGGCAAAGCCUCUAGUUUCUCACAACAACUUAGACGUCGUUCCUCCUUUGGGGAAAGACAAAAAGAUGAUCACACUACCAAAUUGUUUACUCUUGAAGAUGGUGGAGCUUAUGCACUCACCAGGUAAACCUUUAUGAUUUUCACAGCUCCAAAAUAUAAUUCUUUCAAGAGAUAUGUUAACCGCAAGGUGCCGAAGUGUGGCAGGCAACUCGGUUUCUGAAAAAUGAGGAUGUGAUAGAUGGACAAUAUACAUACAUACAAGGCAAUAGUAGUUACAAAAUAUUAGUAAUCCACUUUUGUAAUAGCAUGUCUCAAAUUUGUGAUAGAACACCUAGUAUUUGAAAACUUACCUUCUAUUUACAUCGGAUCAAAACAAACUUAAUCUUCUCAGCUGGGAUUGCCGCUACGAUAAAGGAGAAAUCUAGUUAAAUUAUGAGGGGGGUAAAAAUGAAAAUCCCCAUUACACAGUGAAUAACUCCAUCAGCGCACAAGGUAAGAUGACGACACUAUCACCAUCACGAGGGACCUCGGGCUGUGUGUAUAUAUAUAUAUAUAUGGGUGUGUGUGUGUGCAUGUAUUAUACAUUCAAAAAUGGGGACUGCUACAACAUUAAUUACUGGAUCUGAUACAGUUGCACUACUAGUUACAAUCUGGAGUUACAGAUGGAGUGGACGAUUGGUUGUUAGUCUCGCCACCGGAAGUACAUAUCUUGAUAUAUGAACGUGCCGUUUCUAACAUCAGCUCAACUUCUUUCUUGUACUGGCAUAGAACAAAAGAAUUCAUUGCUUACUAAAUUCAUUCAUAUUUCAAAAAUUAUGGAGUUCAUUUUUCAUUGUAAUAAAACAAAGAUUAAAAGGAAAAUUGUACAAUCAGAGUACCAACCUUGUUAACAGCACCUGUCUUGAUUUUGAAUUGUAUGACACACCAUUUCUUAAAAUGGGCACCUGCAGAUACUGCAGAAACAGUAAAUUCCAAGCACUAGAAUUAAAAAAGAAAAGCACAGUUGGAAUUGCUCAAUAUUUUGACCCAAAUGUUGAAUGCAAUGCAACAGUAAGAUUCUAACAUCUUCGGCAUUAAUAUACAUGCUUCUGUGUGCUCAUAGGACUCCAUGACAAUUCUUGAUGCAAGCUUGCUUCAACCAUUAUUAGGGCAUGAAAAAUCAUCUCACCAAUUGGAAAAGAUAGUCAAAGAGAUGAACAUCAAACCAAAACUUACCCACUUUAAUAUCAAUAGCAGAGGAAUUUUCAGCAACGGUCUCCAAAUGCCAUCGACAAUGAAUCUGAUACAGCAGGACAAUUACAUUGCAUGAACAAAGUGGAAUAUUUCUCUUAUAGGUUACAACCCUCUAAGCAAGGAAAUACAACCAGAAAGUACGUUAUUCUAAAAUAUUUUGGAAAAUGCUGGUUCACCUAUCUUAGCGCAGAAACAAAGUAAUGAUGACCAUACAAAUUUUAUAUAUGUCAGACGUUCUACUUAUUUAUUUUUUGAACAUAAUAAAAUAAAACGAAAUAAUUUGUCUUGUUUAAUUCAAUUAACAUUAACAUCUAAUAAGAAAUGUGAACCGAAAGUAUGAUGUCCAAAUAGAAACAUAUUUCAUACCUCAAAGUAAGACCCGAAUGGAACGUCAUGUGCCUGUUGGACUGUCUCAAAAACCUAAAAGAAAAGACACAUGUUUAAUCCAAAAUUUACAAGAAAAAAUCAUUGACGUCAGAUUUUAACAAGCAAGGUACCAUUUGAAGAUAAUAAGACAGAAAUAAUAACAAAGAGAAUUUUUUAAAACUAUAGAUAAUAAAGAAGAAAAAACAAUAGCAAGCACAUUAUCAAUGUUGCCAAAAAUUUAAGGCAAUGAGACAGAUAGCCUUACAAAUAUUUUCUUAUCUGGUGAUAAAACUGCAUGCUGAUACUCCGUCAUGGCUGUGUCAGGUGGACACAUGGGACUGUUACAGAGAGAUCUAAAUGUGAUCUCUCUUACUUGACCAUCAUAUUCAUCUGCAGCAUGCCACUGUCCCAUCUGGAUAAAGCAUGAGAUAGUAAGCAAAUAUUUCAAUAUCAACCAACCGAUAUUCAGAAUCCAGAAAUAAAAUCUUCUUCUUAGAUGGAAAAGCACACGGAACUGGAAGGAUAAGUGAUCCAUAUGGAUAAUCAUCAGAAACAAAACUGCUUACCCGGACCCUUAUCAACCCCCAACCCUAAACAGAAGCUCUAUUUGGAUGGACAAGAGCAGGCCUUUUGAGGCAAUAUUUGCCCAUUGAACUAGCAAUUGGGCUAAUAUAAUCAUCUGAACUUCCCAAGUAGUCCAUACAGUGUACACAGGAUAAUUAGAACAAACAGAAGCAAUACUCAGUGCUAACCAAACAAGGUUCCAAGUCCUACAUCAGAAUACAUAACGUUGUUUCCUCCAUAAUUUGGUUUUUAAGGAACCGUUGUCCUAGACAUCAUGGAGAGCACUACCAGCUCAGCAUUAGUCCUAAUGCCUCUAAUAAGCUUAACUCUAGAAUGUGCAAAUCCUAACUGCCAACGAUAUAACAGAAAAAUGGGAAAUAUCCUUUCCAUACAAUCUUCUUUUCUAUAAUUUAACAUAUGUUUUAAUUAUCCUUGACAUUCCACUGGCUGGAAUGCCUAAACCAGGUAUGCAACAUAUAAACUUCCAUAUCCAAUUUAGGUACUUAUAUAAUCAGCACCAUGUUUAAGGUACUUUUGCAUCCUUUAAAGAUUUAGCUCGUAAUCCUUUUUAACAUAUCAACAUGGAUAUUCCUUAAAUCAUAAAUGCAUUACCAUGAGAAGCUCUUUUGUUCUUUUUCUUCAUGGUAAAGAAAAAUACAUUGAUCAAAUAUAGAGAAUACAAAAGGAAGAAACAAUUUUCUAGGGUCUAUGAUUUCAAAAAAUGGACUUGGACUUACAACAAGAUUAGUAUCCUUUCUAGCUGCACGAUACUCAUUUGUGAAUGUAGAAUCAUCACUAAACAAUAAAGUAAAGAACUGUUCCGCUGUGCAUGGGAAAACAUCCUGCAAAAUACAUUAAUGCAUUCUAUAAUGGUAAUAACACAACUAUAAAAUUCAUAGACCAUGAAAGAACAAAAAAGAUGAUGCAUACAUUGUAUAUACCAACAAGAACCUCUUCUUUGAUAAACGGUUGAAGCUUUUCAGGUUUGGUGACUGUUUCUUCCGCAAUCUUAGCCUGCCUUCUACUACCUCUAAUGGAGCUACUAUGUGCACGCAACGCCGAUUCUGCCUUCUCC
rnacentral:lncRNA from 1 species